rnacentral:rRNA from 1 species
CCUACGGGAGGCAGCAGUGAGGAAUAUUGGUCAAUGGACGAGAGUCUGAACCAGCCAAGUAGCGUGAAGGAUGACUGCCCUAUGGGUUGUAAACUUCUUUUAUAUGGGAAUAAAACAGGGUAUGCAUACCCUCUUGUAUGUACCAUAUGAAUAAGGAUCGGCUAACUCCGUGCCAGCAGCCGCGGUAAUACUGAGGAUCCGAGCGUUAUCCGGAUUUAUUGGGUUUAAAGGGAGCGUAGGUGGAUUGUUAAGUCAGUUGUGAAAGUUUGCGGCUCAACCGUAAAAUUGCAGUUGAAACUGGCAGUCGUGAGUACAGUAGAGGUGGGCGGAAUUCGUGGUGUAGCGGUGAAAUGCUUAGAUAUCACGAAGAACUCCGAUUGCGAAGGCAGCUCACUGGACUGCAACUGACACUGAUGCUCGAAAGUGUGGGUAUCAAACAGGAUUAGAUACCCGAGUAGUC